rnacentral:rRNA from 1 species
CAGCAGCCGCGGGAAAACCGAGGAUGCAAGCGUUAUCCGGAAUAACUGGGCGUAAAGGGUGCGCAGGUGGUUUAACAAGUUAGUGGUGAAAGGCAUAGGCUCAACCAAUGUAAGCCAUUAAAACUGUUUAACUUGAGUGCAGGAGAGGAAAGUGGAAUUCCUAGUGUAGCGGUGAAAUGCGUAGAUAUUAGGAGGAAUACCAGUGGCGAAGGCGACUUUCUGGACUGCAACUGACACUGAGGCACGAAAGCGUGGGGAGCAAACAGGAUUAGAUACCCCCGUAGUCCCUGUCUCUUAUACA